rnacentral:rRNA from 1 species
GUUGUAUGGUUAAGUGACUAAGCGUACACGGUGGAUGCCUUGGCAGUCAGAGGCGAUGAAAGACGUAGUAACUUGCGAUAAGCCCAGAUUAGGUAGUAACAACCAUUUGAGUCUGGGAUUUCUGAAUGGGGAAACCCACUUACAUAAGUAAGUAUCAUUAACUGAAUACAUAGGUUAAUGAGGCGAACCGGGGGAACUGAAACAUCUAAGUACCCCGAGGAAAAGAAAUCAACCGAGAUUCCGAAAGUAGCGGCGAGCGAAAUUGGACUAGCCCUUAAGCUUUACACGCGUUAGACGAACGGUCUGGAAAGUCCGACGAUACAGGGUGAUAGUCCCGUAGUUGACGACGUGUGUUCAGUGAAAUCGAGUAGGGCGGGACACGUGAUAUCCUGUCUGAAUAUGGGGGGACCAUCCUCCAAGGCUAAAUACUACUGACUGACCGAUAGUGAACCAGUACCGUGAGGGAAAGGCGAAAAGAACCCCUGUGAGGGGAGUGAAAUAGAACCUGAAACCGUGUACGUACAAGCAGUAGGAGCAGGCUUUGUCCUGUGACUGCGUACCUUUUGUAUAAUGGGUCAGCGACUUAUAUUCAGUGGCAAGGUUAACCAUCUAGGGGAGCCGUAGGGAAACCGAGUCUUAACUGGGCGUUCAGUCUCUGGAUAUAGACCCGAAACCAGGUGAUCUAGCCAUGGGCAGGUUGAAGGUUGAGUAACAUCAACUGGAGGACCGAACCGACUAAUGUUGAAAAAUUAGCGGAUGACUUGUGGCUAGGGGUGAAAGGCCAAUCAAACCUGGAGAUAGCUGGUUCUCCCCGAAAGCUAUUUAGGUAGCGCCUCGGACGAAUACUACUGGGGGUAGAGCACUGUUAAGGCUAGGGGGUCAUCCCGACUUACCAACCCUUUGCAAACUCCGAAUACCAGUAAGUACUAUCCGGGAGACACACGGCGGGUGCUAACGUCCGUCGUGGAGAGGGAAACAACCCAGACCGCCAGCUAAGGUCCCAAAUUACUACUAAGUGGGAAACGAUGUGGGAAGGCUCAGACAGCCAGGAUGUUGGCUUAGAAGCAGCCAUCAUUUAAAGAAAGCGUAAUAGCUCACUGGUCGAGUCGGCCUGCGCGGAAGAUGUAACGGGGCUAAGUAGUAAACCGAAGCUGCGGCAAUAUACUUUUGUAUAUUGGGUAGGGGAGCGUUCUGUAAGCGGUUGAAGGUGUGUGGUAACGCAUGCUGGACGUAUCAGAAGUGCGAAUGCUGACAUGAGUAACGAUAAAGGGGGUGAAAAACCUCCUCGCCGGAAGACCAAGGGUUCCUGUCCAACGUUAAUCGGGGCAGGGUAAGUCGACCCCUAAGGCGAGGCCGAAAGGCGUAGUCGAUGGGAAACGGGUUAAUAUUCCCGUACUUCUUACAAUUGCGAUGGGGGGACGGAGAAGGCUAGGUG